rnacentral:ncRNA from 1 species
AUUGAAAAUUAAACACCUUGAUAAGUCAGUGAAGAAGUUCUGAACAGCCUGCUGACAAUCUCAUCUGCCUUAAGACUCUCAUUUCUUGAAAACAUCGGGAUACUGGUGACAAGACGUGGUUCUUGCUGGCGACAGUGUAGAAGAAUCUAGUAGAGGCCGUGAAACCGCAUAACGGUCGCUAGAAAGAAGCAUUGAGAUUAUGAAUCAAGAAAAAGAGAUAGAGCACAGUUAAACUCUACUACCUGAAGAAUAGACGACUCGGUGAGUAAUAAGCCUGCAGACUCUAAGAACUAACGACUCUUAGAUUAAGGUAGGCAGAUUGUUGACAUUGUUGCCGCAAGGUGCAAUCUUCAGUAAUCGUGUUAGUAAGGGUAGAUCGUGGAGGUAUUAAAAUCAGCAGUUAAGGUUUUGAUAUGUCAUAGAGGAAACUGGUACGAGUAGCUUAACACGAGAGCAGGUUGACCAAGAAGAUCAUAAUAUUUCUUAAUUCAACUCUGAACGUUCGGUGAAAGUUAGAUCCAUCGCGAUACUCGAUCUUUGGAAAUGGAAUGUAAGCAUUGAGGUAGCUCCUCAGUGUUCAGAGCAUUCUAGUCGUCGCUCAACAAUCUUUGAAGCUUGUGAAGUAGAGAGAAAUCUCAUCAAGGUGUGUGGCAUUAU